GUUGACCUCGGAUCAGGUAGGAUUACCCGCUGAACUUAAGCAUAUCAAUAAGCGGAGGAAAAGAAACCAACAGGGAUUGCCCCAGUAACGGCGAGUGAAGCGGCAACAGCUCAGAUUUGGAAUCUGGCCUUCGGGUCCG
rnacentral:rRNA from 1 species